AAGCAGGCAUCUCUCGCGCGGCGGAGCUGCCGCAGACCUCGCAGCCCCGAUCGGUGCUGUUUUCUUCUCCAAAGGGGAAGAUCGAGGAGGCUGCUAAUCUUCCGGUCUACAAGCGGAGUUCUGCCGUCGGGAAGAAGGAGAAUUUGAAAUCUCGAUUGCCGGAGAAGCUGGUUCAUCUCAUCCCUCUCGUGGUGCUCCUCUGCUUCUUCAUCCUCUGGUGGUUUUCUUACUCCGGUACGAUUCAACGACGUUAACUGACUGUUGAUUUCUGCAGUUUCUGGUGUGCGUGUGAGGUUUUCUCUAGGCUGCGGAAACGCACGAAUAAGGAAGGGUUUUUUCAAUCUUCUUUCUCGGGAAAAAUUUGUACAAAUCGUGUUGUCUAAUUCAAGCGAUUCGUUUGGCUGUAUAGCAAAUCCAUGAAUUGCAGAGAUCUUGUUCGAACAUAAAGUAAACAGGAAUAACAUGGUUUUCCAGAUCUUCAGAGUCUCUGUAAGGAAAAUUCACAGUUUAACUAGUUGUGGUUCAUUGUUUGUGUAUCAAAACCAG
rnacentral:lncRNA from 1 species